CAAAUACUUCACUAUUGGUCUCUAGAGAGGAAGCUCUGCCAACCAUUACUAAUAACUGAGAAGGAUUUGGCAAUCGCUUAUCUUUGACUCAAUACCUUAUGACCUUGGAAAGGUUUGAACCCGUCAGGGACUAAAGAUGCCAAAGGUUGAAGAAGGGUCACGAGCAAAGAGGGCAUUUACUAUCCUUUUCAAUCUUCACCGUUGGAAGGUAUGGUUUGAUGAACACACAACAAAUG